rnacentral:sRNA from 1 species
GGGCCAGCACUGGAGACCAAAGUUCUUUUUAUCCACAGGAAAGGUACAGCACAGACAAAUGCAGGGCAAGCACCCCACUGCUCUGCCCCACCAAUGUGGGUCAGCCCUACCCUGUAGGGGUCCAGUCCUGGGAGAGAAGGAAGUUCAGUCUCCAAACAUCAUUCUCUCCUUGCUCUCU